UACGUAGGGGGCAAGCGUUGUCCGGAUUUACUGGGCGUAAAGAGCGCGCAGGCGGUCGUCCAAGUCGCGUGUGAAAGCCCCCGGCUCAACUGGGGAGGGUCACGCGAUACUGCUCGACUUGAAGGCAGGAGAGGGAAGUGGAAUUCCCGGUGUAGUGGUGAAAUGCGUAGAUAUCGGGAGGAACACCAGUGGCGAAGGCGACUUCCUGGCCUGUUCUUGACGCUGAGGCGCGAAAGCUAGGGUAGCAAACGGG
rnacentral:rRNA from 1 species